rnacentral:rRNA from 1 species
GAUGAACGCUAGCGGCAGGCCUAACACAUGCAAGUCGAGGGGUAGAAGAAGCUUGCUUUUUGAGACCGGCGCACGGGUGAGUAACGCGUAUGCAACCUACCUUAUACAGGGGAAUAGCCCGAAGAAAUUCGGAUUAAUGCUCCAUGGUUUAUCGAUAUGGCAUCGUAUUGAUAAUAAAGAUUUAUCGGUAUAAGAUGGGCAUGCGUAUCAUUAGCUAGUUGGUGAGGUAACGGCUCACCAAGACGAUGAUCUUUAGGGGGCCUGAGAGGGUGAACCCCCACACUGGUACUGAGACACGGACCAGACUCCUACGGGAGGCAGCAGUGAGGAAUAUUGGACAAUGGGGUGGAAGCCUGAUCCAGCCAUCCCGCGUGUAGGAUGACGCCUUAUGGGUUGUAACUACUUUUAUCUGGGGAUAAACCUCUUACGUGUAAGUGCUGAGGUACCAGAAGAAUAAGCACCGGCUAACUCCGU